rnacentral:rRNA from 1 species
GACGAACGCUGGCGGCGUGCCUAAUACAUGCAAGUAGGACGCAGUUGCGAACGGGUGAGUAACGCGUAGGUAACUACCUAUUAGAGGGGGAUAACUAUUGGAAACGAUAGCUAAUACCGCAUACUAGUAGAUUGACCUGCGUUGUAUUAGCUAGUAGGUAGGGUAAUGGCCUACCUAGGCAAAUAUACAUAGCCGACCGUGGAGGGUGGUCGGGCACAAUGGGAAUGGAGAACGGGCCAAGCUCCUACGGGAGGGAGCAGUAGGGAAACUUCGGCAAUGGGGGGAAACCUGACCGAGCAAAGGCGCGUGAGUGAAGAAGGUUUUCGGAUCGUAAAGCUCUGUUGUUAAGGAAGCGGUACUUAACCAGAAAGGGACGGCUAACUACGUGCCAGCAGCCGCGGUAAUUC